GUGUUGUGAAACAAAGAACAUCAGUGCAUACAAGUAGGCCUUCAUCUUCUACCAGUGAGAACUACCAUUUACACCAUUCAAUGUCGACUAGGUUAACCUUCUGAGGUCAGAGGUUAUGAAGGCCUUAUUAUUAUAGCCUUAUUAUUAAAGCAUGCUACUGUUUGGUUUCAGCACGAUCUCAUCUAUAUAGCCAGACUUCUUCCUUCCCUGAGAUACUAAUCCAACACAGUGGAUGCACUAUGAUAAAAUCCCUUCAAAUAAAUAUUCUCUCAAAAUGAAAAACAUGGAACUCUUAAAACAGUUACGAGUCCAUGAAGAUUGAUCUCAGCGGUGUAGAAAUGAUCAUAUGAAAAUAUGUUGGAAUAAACUGGAGGGGACUUCCUCUGUGGUCUCUGGUAAAACGUAUAAAACGUUGUAAUUUUUCUUUUACAAAGAAUGUAAAGACGGUAACAUGUUCUCUGUCUUUGAUAAGACCUUAUUGGCAGCACAAGGAAAAGUGCUGUGGCUCUUCACUGCUGCGUUGGCCCAGAUGAUGUGUUGAUCCUGACAGACAAAGGCCUCCAUUGAACUUGGUUACAUUCGACUGUAGCACUAAUGCUGCUCUCACUCACUCCAAGAACAACAUAAAGGUUAUGAUCCUCAGGUUGAUCAUUCACGAGUUCAUGCUAACUAAUGGCUAAUAAUAUAAGCCAUAUCCCAAAAACAAGAACACAAUAUUAAUCAAUAGGAAGUAUACUCCAUUCAGGCAGAGCCUUCCUGGACCUCUCUCUGGUGAGGUCACCAUCACACCUGCCUGCAUGGCGCUGGGUGUGGGCGGGGCUUGUUGAGUCCUCUCUGUAUAAAUAGCCGUGUCCCUUUGGGGGAAGCAUUAGCAGCCCUGCUGAGCUCCCACCAACACCUCUGGAACCAUGCUCAGCUCUCUCCUGCGCUCAGCGCUCGUGUUGGCGGCAGUCUGCUGUCUUACAUAUGCAGAGAACAUAACCAUCACUUGUGGGAAAAACAAACAGCGACUGAGUUGUGGUAAGAAAACCCGUUAUUAGUGUUGGGAAGGAUACUUUUAAAACGUAUCCAGUUGCAGAAUACAGAAUACAUGCCCAAAAAUGUAAAAUGUAGCAUAUUCCGUUACAUCACGCAUUCUGAGUAUAGUAUUGUAAAUACUUGGAUUACUUCCACAUUGAAUUGCAUUUUUUAAGUGUAGGAAUGCGAAAUCAAAUCAAUCUCCUUACUGCAUUUAUAUAGCGCUUUUUCUAACCAUUGGCCACCCAAAGCGCUGUACAAUAAUGCCUCAC